GGAGCGUGAUGGGGGGACGCAUAGGGUUAAGCGAGCUAGCUGAUGGAAGCGCUAGUCUAAGGGCGUAGAUUGGAGGGAAGGCAAAUCCACCUCUGUAUUUGAAACCCAAACAGGCUCUUUGAGUCCUUUUAGGACAAAGGGAGAAUCGCUGAUACCGUCGUGCCAAGAAAAGCCUCUAAGCAUAUCCAUAGUCGUCCGUACCGCAAACCGACACAGGUAGAUGAGAUGAGUAUUCUAAGGCGCGUGAAAGAACUCUGGUUAAGGAACUCUGCAAACUAGCACCGUAAGUUCGCGAUAAGGUGUGCCACAGCGAUGUGGUCUCAGCAAAGAGUCCCUCCCGACUGUUUACCAAAAACACAGCACUUUGCCAACUCGUAAGAGGAAGUAUAAGGUGUGACGCCUGCCCGGUGCUCGAAGGUUAAGAGGAUGCGUCAGUCGCAAGAUGAAGCGUUGAAUUGAAGCCCGAGUAAACGGCGGCCGUAACUAUAACGGUCCUAAGGUAGCGAAAUUCCUUGUCGGUUAAAUACCGACCUGCAUGAAUGGCGUAACGAGAUGGGAGCUGUCUCAACCAGAGAUUCAGUGAAAUUGUAGUGGAGGUGAAAAUUCCUCCUACCCGCGGCAAGACGGAGAGACCCCGUGGACCUUUACUACAACUUAGCACUGCUAAUGGGAAUAUCAUGCGCAGG
rnacentral:rRNA from 1 species